rfam:Olsenella sp. An290 An290_contig_6, whole genome shotgun sequence.
GUCAGCGACCAUGGCAGGGGAGGCACACCCGGUCCCAUUCCGAACCCGGAAGUUAAGCCCCCGAGCGCCGAUGGUACUGCGGAGUCAGUCCGUGGGAGAGCAGGACGUCGCUGACC